rnacentral:rRNA from 1 species
UACGGAGGGUGCAAGCGUUGUUCGGAUUCAUUGGGCGUAAAGCGAGUGUAGGCGGUCUGACAAGUCGGAUGUGAAAUCCCGGGGCCCAACCCCGGAACUGCAUCCGAUACUGUCUGGCUAGAGUCCCGGAGAGGGUGGCGGAAUUCCCGGUGUAGGGGUGAAAUCCGUAGAUAUCGGGAGGAACACCAGUGGCGAAGGCGGCCACCUGGACGGUGACUGACGCUGAGACUAGAAAGCGUGGGUAGCAAACAGG